rnacentral:lncRNA from 1 species
AGGUGGAGAGUGUUUUGAUACUUAUUCACUGGCACUACAAGCUGAGAGUUCCAAUGAACAUCCUGAAAGCAGUGUGUUCAACAGCACCAUUAUUUCAUCUACUGUAGCUGAUAUAACAGAAAAGCAUUCAUGCGGAAAUGUAAAUGUAGAUGCUGAAAUAAGACUAGACAUGGAACGAGAAUUAAGAGACUCAAUUGGAGACACAAAAGCUAUAGCUGCUGAAAGUGUUGAUGUUAAAAGGUCAUUAGCUGUUUCCCCUCAGACGGUGUUCUUCCCAGAGCUGCAAUUACCAGAAAAUAAGAAGAAAAAACAUAGUAAUAAAAAAUUGCCAGCGCAGUUGAGAAAAAUUAGAAAUGAGGAGUUAUUUACACCGGUUCGCCGGGUUUCAAAGAGACUCUCAGGCCACUACUCAGAAGUGGUGCCUGAUUUAAAUGUAGGUGAAUGUGGUCCUGGAUCUGUCUCUUCAGGCCAUCCCCUGACUGUUUCUGGUCGGGAAUUGUCCCAGCAAGCUGAUCUGGCCAUUUCGGAUCACGCCUUUCUAAGAAAAAUAGCUUUAUCACAAGAUGAUCAGUUGGAAAUUGUGAAGUGUCCUUCAGAGGGCCAAGCUUUUAAAGAGCAGAAAGCUGCGAAGGAAUUAACAAGUGAGAAACAAGAUGAUAGAAGAAUAUUGCGAGAUCCUCAGCCAGCUGAAAUAUCAUAUGAAAUCGGAAAGGUUCACUUGGAGCACCAGGUGGUUAAAGAAAGGCCUACAGCACAAGACAGUCAGAAGAGAUUAUUGAACAAUUCUUGGCCAGCUCAAUUAGCAUCGGGAAGUAGGGUACUCCCUGUGGAGAACCAGUAUGUUUCGGAAAGGUGUUCUGUAGAGCAGGUAAGUGAGAAACGCGAUUAUGAGAACAUGCAAUGGCGAGAUUCACAACUAGGUGAAUCGUCACAGAGAAGUAGAGAGCUUAAUGUGGAAAACCAGCCUGUUAGAGAAAAGCAAACAGGAGAGCUAGUAACUGAGAAUCAAGAUGAGCAGAGCAGAAGGUUGCAAGCACAACUAGCUUCUUACCCAUUUGGGGAUUAUUGGUCAGACCCAUGCUUGGAAUUUGCAUUCAAGACCCUUACUGGUGCAAUACCAGUAGAAGAUACCCUCGCCUUUCAAGGAUCUUCCCAGCAAGAAUUCAAUACUUCUUACACUCAGGCUGAUGACGGGUGCUUUGAACUGCCAUUAUUCAACACUUCCAGCUUUUACAUGAAUGAUGUUCCUAGCCAUUGCGCUCCAUCAGAGGAGCACGUCCCGCAGGAGCAACCGCCAAUAACUCAAACCUUUUUGCCCACUGGAAGUAAUAGCAUGCCAGGUUGCAGUAGUGUUGUUUCUCAAAGUCCAGGUUUGGACACCCAGGCUAAGGACUAUCAAUCUAAAGUUAAAUCGCAGUGUCCAGGUAUGGACACCCAGGCCAAUAAAUCAAACCUUUUUGCCCACUGGAAAUAAUUGCACAUCGGGCUGCAGUAGUGUUGUUUCUCAAAGUCCAGGUUUGGACACACAGGCCAAGGACUAUCAAUCUAACGUCAAAUCUCAAAAGUUGAAUCAGAGCGCUUUAAGAGACAGGUGUUACGUGUAUCGAUGGAUCAAGUAAUAACACGGAACUGCUCUUUUGUGAAUGCAUUUUUGUGCAGCUAUUACCCUCUAGCUGUUUUAUUUUUUUGAUGCAGUUUCUAUAGUUGGGGAGACUGUCUAUAAUUGGGUGAAGAUUGACAACAGGUGAUAUGCUUCAUCAUAUGUUUGUGGGAUGAGAUGGAUAUAUUAGAUUUGUUCGAUCCAGGUGGUCUGAAAUGUAGAUGCAACUUUUUGAAUAUUUAGAUCUCACGAUCAGUAGUACUUUAGACAAUCUUUUUCCCACUUAAAAAGGCAUAAUAGACAAAUGUUUGCUAAAUGUUUUCUGUAUAAGGUACGAUCUCUAAGCU